AGCUCAGUGUGACAACUGGGGAUGAGGGAGAAAGAUAUCAAAGCGAGGGAAAAGGGAGUGACACCGGGGUUACCUUGGUCCUCAGGUUGACUUUCCCCAAGGCGCCCUGAAUGAAAGGCCAGAGAGGCUGAAGUCAGGCAUAGACUCUGGUGAUGGCCACAGGUGGAGGGGGUGACCAGGCACAGGUACAGACUACUUGGGGCAUGUGGAUGUUCCAAGGAGUCACAUUCCAAAUUAGUAGGAGAACCCUCCCUCACACUGAGCUAGUUCACAAUGUCUGCCUUGGGUAGUGAGGGCUCCAUCCCUCGGGGCAUACAACCCUAAGGCAAGGACCACAUGAAGGGAGGCUAUGGAGGGGUUUGGGGCAAAGGAACCUCAGGCAUCUCGAGGACACUCCCCACUCUGGGGGCUGUGUCCCUGGGUCUCUGGGCUGUGAAGGCUGGCUUUGUGAAAAGAUGGGGUAACUCUCAGCGGCUAGGCACUCAUUGUGUCCCCAGCCCUGAGCCAAUAUCGGUGACCAUCUCUAAUGCCACCACAGCCUUGUGAGAAGGGCACUAGGAGCCCCAUUUCUUAGACGGGGACACUGAAAUGCACGAAGGUAGGUGACUUGACCCAUGUCACACAGCUGUUCACACGUAACUAGGACUCAAGCUUGGGUCUGCGGCUUCCCGGGCAGAACGAUCCAGGCUCUGACUGGACCCCCUUCAAGGUAGAGGAGGCUCACGGGAAGUCGGGAGAACUGGAGUCCAGGAGACCAAGAAGCUCGGGCAGUACGGUCGUGAUCCACAAGCCAGGCCUAACAGCCUGUCUGACACUCUGCCCGGCUCAGAGGCCCACACGUGCCAGGGGCUGGUGGCCGUUGCUCUGAAGCCCUGGCCCAGCUUCCGUUCCCAGUGACUCCUUCCUGGCUCUCGCGAUGAGGGCUCUGGGCCGGGUUACUGGCGGUCAACCCUGGACCCGGAGAUGGGAUGACAUCACGGCUCAUUCCUUCCCCACCCGGGCCUCAUCAUGCACGCGGCCGUCUGUGUGCCCACAGCCCCCCACAAGGGCCUCUUUCCUGGUGGCAUCACAGAGGGACAGGGAGAUCCUGUGACCUCCCCCAACCCUGUGCCAUUACAGCGGCUGGAGGGGCUCCUUGAGGUCAGCUUCCCCCGCAUGCCUCUCUGAAGCUAAACAAGGAGGGCUGCAAAGAAGCCACCUGGGGUGAAGGAAAGAGCACAGCCGAGGAGCUCGGAAGUCCAGUUCUGUCCCUGGAGAGCACCCCCACAUUCCAGAUGUGCCGGGCCCUUUCGCGGUGAUCGUCUUGAAUGCUUACAGCGCCCCCGGAAGGGAGACAGUUGUAUUUUUUCCCCCUGUGACGGCAGGGGAACCUGAGAUUCUGAUGGGAAAAUAGAGGCUAAGCAACCUGCUGAAGAUCCCAGGAGGAGCCAGGCCGUCAGAGAAAAUCCUCGGGCAAAGAGAUGAAGCUGAUGUCAGCUAGCAGCACGCUCAGGGCCAGGGUGCCCUGAAAUGGUAAGGGAGGUGGGUGUGGGGAGGCCACCCGCAGCACCUGCUUCAGUGACCGAGCAGAGACAACUUCCUGGAAAGGAGGCGAGAGAUACUGGCUGUGACAAUCGCUUCUACGUCUAUGACACCUGUCUCCCUAAGAAUUCAAAGAUCAGCUCCCGAUAUCGUCUGUCAUCAUUUCAUCAUCCUUAGACCGUGCGUAGAUGCGGAGAGGAAGGGGGAAUGCUGGGCAAGGAGUGUGGAUUCUAAUUCGGGCUCCAGAAUGAAUGUCAGUUUCCUCAUCUGCAGUGUGGGGAUGAAACCACAUCACCUUGGUGUCUUCUUAGGGCCAUUUGGGAAUCAAAUAAGAUCACGACAGGAAAAAAGAUCCUGAGCGUGGAACUGGUUUGAAAACUACAGAUCACCAAAGUCUUCCAUGGUGGCAGAGGAUAGAGACGAGAGCCAGGUGGCUUGACUCCUGACCCCCGGGUUCUUUCGAAGGGUCUAAGUGACCAUGGCCACCGGAGAAGCCACACAUGUCACCAUGGCACACCAUGCAUGGCUCAGCUGGGCCUCUGGGGCAGUUAGCCCUGGAAGAAGGGACCAGGGGAACCCUUGGAUGGGAGGCCUGAAGUUCUUGCUCAGGGACAUCAAGCGGGGAUGCUCUCAGCUGGCUCCUGGGGGUUAGGCAGAAGACAGAGGAGGAUGGGACUGGCAUCCUCCAGGAGGUGGGGUGGUCACCUGAGAAGUGUUCUGACCAGCUGGGACAGGUUUCCUCAUUUCCCUACAGUUGCAGGGACAUCUCAGGAUAUGGGCUAAAGGGACUCCUGUUCACACACAGGCAGUGAGACCCAGGGAAGCUGGCUCAGGCCAGACUGGCAAUACGAGUGGUCUGCUGAAGGCCAUGUGGCUUCCCCUUCUCCCUGACAUUGAACUGACUCAAGCUGGGAUCGGCUGCAGUCAGCCCUUGGUGUCAGCCAGAGUAAACCCAGUCCUAGCCUCGUCUCAGUGGUCAGUCCUAGUGUUCUGUAAUGUGAAAUCAUCAUGGGUGGAGAGGUUGUGGGCCUGGGGCCAGAGGUCCAGCAAGAGGGAUCUCUGCUUGCACAAGCAGCUCUGGACUGAUGUCCAGAGAACCAUCAGGGAACUCUUAUUCACUGUUGCUCAGAGAAGGAAUGUCACGACCCUCAUGGGGCAGGCAGCAAAGGGCAAAGGCAGCAAGCUUGGGAUAUCUGGGUGGGAUGUAUUCGCUAGAAGAUACCAACAAUUUCCCAUGAUGCCAGUGCGUGGAGAGCACCAGGCUGAUACACAGUCACUUCUCUGAGCUCCCUUGGUCCCAUCUGAAACGGACAAAUCCCCACUCCUUGAUAGGAGGGAUCCUGGAUCUAGAAGGAGGACUCUUAGUGCUGUUUAGAACCCUUUGGCCACCUGAGAAAGUCCUGUCCGAGGCACCCCAGGGUGUAGACAUGACUGGUUCAGGGCCGGGAAGGCCGUCUGGGGAAGUUUUUGCUUUGGUUCAAGUGCUGGUUCCAAUUUUAAUCUAUCAUUCAGGGGCCCAGUCAAACUGAUUCCCUGGGAUCUUAUUUUAUUUUAUCUUUCAAAGCAAAACCCUCCAACAGUUUGGC